UAAUCUCACUCCGACGACUUUGUUGUCGUCUGGAGGUGGACCUGGACCCUGCCGUGUCACAACGGCUGGUCUGAAAUGCAUGAGUGCACCCUGCUGUAGCAGCGUCUUCAGUGUGAUAAGUAUCUUCACUGAUUCAAGCUCCCCUCUGUGGGACACGCUCGUCUGGUGGGCUCUGUGCUUCCAACUGUCCAUGUGGACAACUCUUGACA
rnacentral:misc_RNA from 1 species